UCGACGGGAUUGAGAGCUUGCUCUCAUGAGAGUGGCGCACGGGUGAGUAACGCGUAUGCAACCUACCUAUAACUGAGGGAUAGCCCAUAGAAAUGUGGAUUAAUACCUCAUAGUUCUAUUGGAUCGCAUGAUCUGACAGAUAAAACUCCGGUGGUUAUAGAUGGGCAUGCGUGACAUUAGCUAGUUGGUAAGGUAACGGCUUACCAAGGCUACGAUGUCUAGGGGUUCUGAGAGGAUGAUCCCCCACACUGGUACUGAGACACGGACCAGACUCCUACGGGAGGCAGCAGUGAGGAAUAUUGGUCAAUGGGCGCAAGCCUGAACCAGCCAUCCCGCGUGCAGGAUGACGGCCCUAUGGGUUGUAAACUGCUUUUAUACACCAAGAAAAAACAGGACGUGUCCUGUCCCGACGGUAGUGUAUGAAUAAGCAUCGGCUAACUCCGUGCCAGCAGCCGCGGUAAUACGGAGGAUGCAAGCGUUAUCCGGAUUCAUUGGGUUUAAAGGGUGCGUAGGCGGCUUUUUAAGUCAGUGGUGAAAUCCUGCCGCUUAACGGUAGAAUUGCCAUUGAUACUGAAGAGCUUGAGUACAGUUGAGGUAAGCGGAAUGUGUAGUGUAGCGGUGAAAUGCUUAGAUAUUACACAGAACACCGAUUGCGAAGGCUGCUUACUAAACUGUCACUGACGCUGAUGCACGAAAGCGGGGGGAGCGAACAGGAUUAGAUACCCUGGUAGUCCACGCCGUAAACGAUGCUCACUCGCUGUAUGCGAUACACAGUAUGCGGCCAAGCGAAAGCAUUAAGUGAGCC
rnacentral:rRNA from 1 species